rnacentral:tRNA from 2 species
GCCGAAGUGGCGGAAUUGGCAGACGCGCACGGUUCAGGGCCGUGUCUCGAAAGAGAUGUGAGUUCGAGUCUCACCUUCGGCACUA